rnacentral:rRNA from 2 species
UAAUACGGAGGGUCCGAGCGUUAAUCGGAAUUACUGGGCGUAAAGCGUACGUAGGUGGCUAGAUUAGUCGGAUGUGAAAGCCCUGGGCUCAACCUGGGAACUGCAUUCGAUACUGUCUGGCUAGAGUAUAGUAGAGGGAAGUGGAAUUCCGGGUGUAGCGGUGAAAUGCGUAGAUAUCCGGAGGAACACCAGUGGCGAAGGCGGCUUCCUGGACUAAUACUGACACUGAGGUACGAAAGCGUGGGGAGCAAACAGGAUUAGAUACCCUGGUAGUCCACGCCCUAAACGAUGUCAACUAGCCGUUGGAGGAAUUUAAUCCUUUAGUAGCGCAGCUAACGCGAUAAGUUGACCGCCUGGGGAGUACGGUCGCAAGAUUA